rnacentral:sRNA from 1 species
CGGUUUCAAUCAGUUGCGGACAAAUAAAGUGAAUAUGACUGUCAAUUCCGCCAGCCGUGAGGAUCAGUCCUUCUCCCGCCACUGCUUCGGUACUGGGACCGAUAAUAAUAUCGACAUUAUCUUGAAUGUAGGGAUUUCCUGCUUUCCCAAUUUUGAAAAUGCGACCAUCUUUAAUCCCCACAUCUGCUUUCACAAUCCCCCACCAAUCGAGAAUGAGGGCGUUAGUAAUCACUACAUCUACUGCACCAUCAGCACGAGAAAUUGGCGAUUGUCCCAUGCCAUCGCGG